UACGUAGGGGGCUAGCGUUGCUCGGAAUUACUGGGCGUAAAGCGCACGUAGGCGGAUUGUUAAGUCAGGGGUGAAAUCCUGGAGCUCAACUCCAGAACUGCCUUUGAUACUGAGAAGCUUGAGUCCGGGAGAGGUGAGUGGAACUGCGAGUGUAGAGGUGAAAUUCGUAGAUAUUCGCAAGAACACCAGUGGCGAAGGCGGCUCACUGGCCCGGUACUGACGCUGAGGUGCGAAAGCGUGGGGAGCAAACAGG
rnacentral:rRNA from 1 species